CCUACGGGCGGCAGCAGUGGGGAAUUUUGGACAAUGGGCGCAAGCCUGAUCCAGCCAUGCCGCGUGUCUGAAGAAGGCCUUCGGGUUGUAAAGGACUUUUGUCAGGGAAGAAAAGGAUAGGGUUAAUACCCCUGUCUGAUGACGGUACCUGAAGAAUAAGCACCGGCUAACUACGUGCCAGCAGCCGCGGUAAUACGUAGGGUGCGAGCGUUAAUCGGAAUUACUGGGCGUAAAGCGAGCGCAGACGGUUACUUAAGCAGGAUGUGAAAUCCCCGGGCUUAACCUGGGAACUGCGUUCUGAACUGGGUGACUAGAGUGUGUCAGAGGGAGGUAGAAUUCCACGUGUAGCAGUGAAAUGCGUAGAGAUGUGGAGGAAUACCGAUGGCGAAGGCAGCCUCCUGGGAUAACACUGACGUUCAUGCUCGAAAGCGUGGGUAGCAAACAGGAUUAGAUACCCUGGUAGUC
rnacentral:rRNA from 1 species